rnacentral:misc_RNA from 1 species
UACGGAGGAUCCAAGCGUUAUCCGGAAUCAUUGGGCUUAAAGGGUCCGUAGGCGGGACCAUAAGUCAGCGGUGAGAGUCUGUGGCUCAACCAUAGAAUUGCCAUUGAUACUGUUGUUCUUGAGUGUUUAUGAAGUGGUUGGAAUAUGUAGUGUAGCGGUGAAAUGCUUAGAUAUUACAUAGAAUACCGAGUGCGAAGGCAGAUCACGAAUAAUUUACUGACGCUGAUGGACGAAAGCGUAGGUAGCGAACAGG